rnacentral:rRNA from 1 species
AUUAAUAGAUAUAUUCUUUAAAUUUGAAGAAUUUGGCGGUGAUUUAGUCUUGUUAGAGGAACCUGUUUUUGGAUCGAUACACCACGUGGAAUCUUGCUCGUUUUACUGUAGCUUAUAUACCGUCAUUGUCAGAUAAUUUUAAGAAAAUUAAUUAUUAAAAUUUAAGUUAAUAAACUAAAUUAGAUCAAGGUGUAGCUUAUAAACGAGUUAAAAUGGGUUACAAUAAAAUUUAUUUACCACGGAGUAAUAAAAGAAAUGUUAAUAUGAAGGAGGAUUUAAUUGUAAUAAAGGUUUAAUAAGCUUAAAAGAUAUAAGCUCUAAAUCAU